AGCCCAUUACACUUAAAAUACCCAUUACACUAGAAGAACGGGAAAAAAUCGAACGGGAAAAAAUCAAAAAAUAAGGAACCCCAACUUCGUUACUUUCUCUUCUUUGUUCCUACUUCUUCUUCACGAUUUCAACUUCAAACUCAGUAUGGAGCUCAAAAUGUUUGCAUCUAGAAGUUGUUUGAAGAUUGUAGGCUGAGGGAUUAAAUAUAAUGCUAGCACAUCAAGCAAUUUGCCUUCAACCCCUGAUGUUGCAAAUGAUGAUGAUUUCGAGUCCUCUGUUGUUCUUACAAAGAGUUGUCAACAAGAAAGUACCCGAAUCACUCGAUCGCAGACGAAGAAAUUUGAUAAUCUUGUGAAGAAUAUCAAGCCGAGGACUAAGAAAUGUGGUCGACCUGAGAAAGCUAAAGUGAGGUUGAAACUUGUUGAUGAAGAUGAGGCUGCCAAAAAGAAAAAAAAGAGAAAGCUAAGGUCGUCAAUGUUGCUGAAUGUAGUUCUUAUGCAUUAUCGAUAGAACAAAAGGAAUCUAUUCGAUGUAAAUUUAAUGAAAGAAAAUCUCAGUUAAAGAGGUUGGUGACUUCUAUAUAUAACCGAAUGAACAUUUUCGGACUAGGAUUAGUUGUCAUACCAAGACUAAUAUUGUCAGAUUUUUGAGGGAAUACUUGAGUGAUACGCAGCUUCAAAUCUUCCGUGAUAGUUGUUUUGGAUAUUUCUUAGACCUGCCUCCUUUUAAGAUUCAGAACCAGCUUAUACAUUGCAAUUUACUGAGGGAGGUUGUCCUCGGUAUGUUAAGAGAGUUGUGGAUUAAACUCAACGAUUGUAUAUUGAGUUCUGGUAUUGGAGAGUUUGCUGUUAUUACGGGUUUGAAGUGUGUUGAAGAUGAUGCAACUAUGUAUGACAAACCAAACACCAGUAGCUUGAUGGAAAUGUAUUUUUCAGGAAACAUAUCAAUAACGAGGGAGCAGUUGCUUACUCGCUUUAAGGAAAAGGAAUGGAAGUCGGAUGAUGAUGCAUUCAAGAUGGGUUUGAUGGAUUGGAGGGUUUCCGCUUGCACUACAGACUUGGUUUUUUAAAUGUUGCUCUACAGUCGAUAAAAUGCUCGCUGUUCGUGUUGGCAAUAAUGUGCCACGUAUUCUUAACUGGAAAGUGAUUGAUUCUCCGACGUAUACGUUCUUGACUGAUGAUGUGCUCAUGCCUAGUAUCGACAAAAUGAAGUACUGCAACAUUUCUCCUACCACUGAGGAAAAAAUACACUUGAAAAUUGCUGCAUUCUUUGAAGAUAUCAAUGCCGACCAUGUUUCUUCACAGGGUUUGCCCAUUUUUCAGAAUGAAGAUUCUAACAUUGCACCCCUACCACUUUCUCAGAAUAUAGAGCAGCCUAAACAACCUCAUUCUCAGAAUAAGGAGCAACAACCUGUAUUGAGACGCGAUCCUUUCAGGAGAAGUGAUGGGUUGACGGCUGAAGUUGCUCAGUUGAGGAGUGACGUCUCAAAGCUUACUGGUAAAGUUGAGGCGCUCAACACUUACAUUGUAUAUUCCUUUGGAAUCAUAUUCAAGCAUUUGAAAAUUAAGCAACCGAGUGAUUAAGAAAAUGCUGAUGAGGACGGUUCAUCUGAUCAAGGCAAUGAUAGGCUUGACAAUGAUGAUUAUGUUCCACCUCCUUCCCCCCUCUCCCCUCCCGAACAAGCGCAUGAUCUAAAUAUGCAAGGUGACUAAAUAACGUCAAGUGUCAAGGGAAAUGAAGAGGGUACUAAUGUUCCCCCCCUCGAGCAAGUGUAUGACCUAAACUUGCGAUCUGACCAAAAUGCAUCAUGUGUCAAGGGAUAUCAACAAAUUACUGAUGGUCUUCCUGGAAGUGAUGGUGUUGAGCCCUCCGAGCAAGUGCAUGAAGUAAACAUGCAACAUAACCAAACAAAAUCAAGUGGACAAAAUCAAGUGUUAAGGAAAAUGAGGAAGUUACUGAUGGUCAUCUUGUGGAAGCAGUUGAGGACGAUCCCUGGUGUGGUAUUACUGAUGAAGACUUUGAUAAUAUAAAGAUGUCAAGUGUCAAGGGAAAUGUAGAGGGUGGUGAUGUUCCCCCCCUGGAGCAAGUGCAUAAUCAACAAAUUACCGAUGGUCUUCCUGCAAGUCAUGGUGUUGAGCCCCCCGAGCAAGUGCAUGAAGUAAACAUGCAACCUGACCUAACAAAAUUAUGUGUCAAGGAAGUUACUGAUGGUAUGAUUUACUGUAGAAGUCAUACAUCUGCUGCCAAUACUAUAGAAGUCCAUGUCCAAAUAGAGUAGGAUCUGAUACCAAAUUCUGUAUUUAUGAAACAAACUUGUACCAAGUCCUUUCCCAGAUAAAUAUGAUCAGUGGUACAAAUAUGUUUGAAACUUCCUGAAGUAUAGCAGUUUCUGUCUAUUGUCAACCUCUCAACAGAUUGGGCACCAACUGUCAAUACCACACCUUGAGAGAUAGUCAAUAAACAGAUCCUAUAUAACAUGUUUAGUUCCCUUCCUAUAUUUCCUGAAAACCAGCAAAUCAGGUCUGUCAUACCAAUUGGUGUUUAAGUUUUUACUUGCAUUCAGUCCUACAAAAAAGAAACCAUGGUUUU